GCAGUGGUGGUUCGGUGGUAGAAUUCUCACUUUCUGUGCGAGAGGCCCUGGUUCGAUUCCUGGCCAACGCA
rnacentral:tRNA from 1 species